CCGGGGCUUCUUCUACGGUUACCGUCAUUAUCUUCACCGUUGAAAGUGCUUUACAACCCUAGGGCCUUCAUCACACACGCGGCAUGGCUGGAUCAGGCUUGCGCCCAUUGUCCAAUAUUCCCCA
rnacentral:rRNA from 1 species